AUGUCUUUUUGUAUUUAAUUUAAAGUCUAAUCUGCCCACUGAUUUUUAAUUAAAGGGCUGCAGUAAUUUGACUGUACAAAGGUAGCAUAAUCAUUAGUCUUUUAAUUGAAGACUUGUAUGAAAGAUUUGAUGAGAUAUAAACUGUCUCUUUAUUACAAUUAAAAUUUAAUUUUUUAGUUAAAAAGCUAAAAUAUUUUUAAAAGACGAGAAGACCCUAUAGAGUUUUAUAGUUUUUAUUAUAAAAUAUUUAUAUAAAAUUUUAAUGUUAUAUUAUAAAAAUUAUUUUGUUGGGGAGAUAAAAAAAUUAAAUAAACUUUUUUAAAUAUUUUCAUGAAUAAUUGAGUAAUUGAUCCAUAUUUAUUGAUUAAAAGAAAAAAUUACCUUAGGGAUAACAGCGUAAUAUUUUUUUUUAGUACAAAUAAGAAAAAAAGUUUGCGACCUCGAUGUUGGAUUAAGAUAAAAUUUAAAUGUAAAAGUUAAA
rnacentral:rRNA from 1 species